GUGACAGCCGCCGCGGUAAUACGUAGGGUGCAAGCGUUGUCCGGAAUCAUUGGGCGUAAAGCGCGUGUAGGCGGCUUGGUAAGUCAGCUGUGAAAGCCCAGGGCUCAACCCUGGGAUGCCGGUUGAUACUGCCAAGCUCGAGUCCGGAAGAGGAGUGUGGAAUUCCUGGUGUAGCGGUGAAAUGCGCAGAUAUCAGGAGGAACACCAAUGGCGAAGGCAGCACUCUGGGACGUGACUGACGCUGAGACGCGAAAGCGUGGGGAGCAAACAGGAUUAGAAACCCUCGUAGUCC
rnacentral:rRNA from 1 species